rnacentral:snRNA from 1 species
UUUCUUUCUCCUAGGGGUCAAUGGGCGAUCAAAAAGGCCCAUGGCCUAGGCUGGUGACCUCCACUGCACUUUGGAGGGGUGCCAGCCUAAGGUAGGCCCAAGUGGCAGCGGGGGCCUGCGUUCGCGCGGCCCCUAC